rnacentral:rRNA from 1 species
UACAGGGGGUGUAAACGUUGCUCGGAAUCAUUGGGCGUAAAGCGCACGUAGGCGGUUCGUUAUGUCGGAUGUGAAAGCCCUUGGCUUAACCGAGGAAGUGCAUCCGAAACUGGCGAGCUAGAGUACUAAAGAGGAUCGCGGAAUUCCCGGUGUAGAGGUGAAAUUCGUAGAUAUCGGGAGGAACACCGGUGGCGAAGGCGGCGAUCUGGGUAGAUACUGACGCUGAGGUGCGAAAGCGUGGGGAGCAAACAGG